CCUGGUGACCACAGGUCGGAGGUACCACCCGUUCCCAUCCCGAACACGGCCGUUAAGCUCUGAUCCGCCAAUGGUAGUGGGACGAUAGGUCUCGCGAGAGUAGGUAAUCGCCAGGG
rnacentral:rRNA from 1 species